rnacentral:rRNA from 1 species
GGGUGAGUAACACGUGGAUAACCUACCUAUAAGACUGGGAUAACUUCGGGAAACCGGAGCUAAUACCGGAUAAUAUUUUGAACCGCAUGGUUCAAAAGUGAAAGACGGUCUUGCUGUCACUUAUAGAUGGAUCCGCGCUGCAUUAGCUGGUUGGUAAGGUAACGGCUUACCAAGGCAACGAUGCAUAGCCGACCUGAGAGGGUGAUCGGCCACACUGAACUGAGACACGGUCCAG